rnacentral:ncRNA from 1 species
UCUUAAGAGAGUUUGAUUCUGGCUCAGGAUGAACGCUGGCGGCACCGAUAAGUCAUGCAAGUCGAACGGUAUAGUCGCAAG